CAAGAAUUUACUUAACUUAAUAUUUUACAAUUUAAAAACAUCAGUGUGUUGGUUACUCCUCAGAACUUCAUUAGUGACUGUGGUGGACCAGAACCAGUGGGAAAAUCUUCUUCAUCCAACUGAAUACUAGCAGUGUAGGAAAAGUUCAGUCAGUUUUGUUAUACGGAAAAGUGCAAUAAAAUUGUGUUCAUUGAUCGCAUAGCUGAACAAGGGCCCUCAUUUAUUUGGUUUGGGUUUUCAACAUUAAAUCCACAGCAGCACAAACACCACAAGGCCGUGAUGACUUUGCCAUGAAGCAGGAUUUAGUUAGCUUGCUUAGUGUCCUAAAACUAAAACUGCUUUUUUUUUCAAAGUGUUUUUUACAACAAUGCAAGUAAUACAAAUCGCCAAUUUCUACUAAAAUGGACACAUGUAUUAUGUUGUAUUUUCCUAUAGAAUUUAAAUCUUUUUUCCUAAACUUUGAGCAUUAUAUACCUUUUAUUUGGUUUUAUUUUGAAAACAGGAUGUUGCAAAACCAUGCAUUUCCGUCCUCAGUCCUCCAGUCCAGCAGAGGUCGCUGUUUGCUCUCCUGUAAGUGACUGGUGGUCGAUGCGGAACUCGGGUGUCUCUGUUUACUUUCCGCUGUGUCUCCUUUUGUGUCGCUCCGAGAUUCUAAAGAGCGCAGAAAAGCGGUAAAAAUGUUCGCCGUGUAGCUGCGGCAGGUGUCGGCACAUGAGCGGACCAACUCUGUGGCGGAGGACUCUCUGUUUCCGGCGGAGAAAGAAGGAAGACGGCGGUUAAAAUGGUCGGUGUGUUGGAGGAAACGCAGCGGUCAGAGCAGCGGAGCUGCCGCCAGAAGAAGCUGCUCGAGGCUGCAGCCGUAAAGACCGAAGUCCGGCUGAACACAGCAGACGAGGAGCAGCAGCAGCUGCUGGUGAUAAAAGAAGAGUUUCCCGCCGAGCAGCAGUGGAUCUACAGUGUGGACCAGGAGGAGCCGAAGCUUCCCCACAUUAAAGAGGAGGAGGAGGAAGUGUGCAUCAAACAGGAGGAGCACGAGUUCACUCCUGUAAAUGUGAAGACGGAGGAAGACGAAGAGACACCCGAGUCCUCACAGCUUCAUCAGCGUCGCACUGAGGAGAACAGAGAGGACUGUGGAGAACCGGAAUCAGCCGGGAACCCGGAUCCAGAUGCACAUUUAGGACCAGUCACAGAGGCGGACUCUGAAGACUUUUCCGAGACUGACGACAGCGAGGAUGAAUGGAAAGAUAGCAGUGAACUACCAAGUCCAAAACCAGCCAAGAAAACCGUCUCCACUGAUGACAAACUAAAAUGUUCUGAAUGUGGGAAAAUAUCAGUCUCCAAGUCACAUUUGCUGAGACACAAAAAAAUCCACACGGGAGAGAAACCGUUCAGUUGCUUUGAGUGUGGUAAAAGAUUUAUCCAGCAGAGCGAUCUGAAGAAACACAAGAGAAUUCACACGGGAGAGAAACCGUUCAGCUGCUCCGAGUGUGGCAAAAAGUUUAACACAAAAUGGAACCUGCAGCUCCACGCAAAAGUUCAUACGAGAGAGAAACCGUUCACCUGCUCCGUGUGCGGGAAAAAGUUUACGGACAAGAGCUACAUGAAGAAGCAUGAGAAAUAUCACACGGCUGAUAAACAGUUUAGUUGCUCCGUUUGUGGUAAAGGUUUUGUCCAAGUGGGGGAUCUGAGGAGGCACGAGAAAAUUCACGCAGGGGUUAAACAGUUCAGUUGCUCCAAGUGUGACAAACAGUUCAUCAGUAAGGAUUAUCUGAAGAAACAUGAGAAAUGUCACACCAUAGACAAACCGCUGAGCUGCUCCGUGUGCGGGAAAACGUUUGUCUAUCAGUGGAAUCUGAAGAAACACGAGAAAAUUCACACGGGAGAGAAACCGUUCAGCUGCUCCGAGUGCGGUCAGGGCUUCAUCCAGCAGUGUGACCUGAGGAAACACGAGAGGAUCCACACGGGAGAGAAGCCGUUCACUUGCUCCGAGUGCGGCAAGAGGUUUCGCACAAACUCGAUGCUGCGGCUGCACGAGAAAAUUCACACGGGGGAGAAACCGUACAGUUGCUCCGUGUGCGGCAAAGGGUUUGUUCAAAAGGGACAGUUGAAGACGCACGAAAGGACUCACACGGGGGAAAAACCAUACAGUUGCCCAUUCUGCGGGAAAAAGUUUACAGGCAAAAGAAGCCAGACGUUUCACAUUUCAGUCCACAUAAGAGGGAAACUAUAAAGCAAACAAAGUAUUUACUUUCUGUGUCUUAAAUCUAAAAAAGACAACAGAUUGAGAAGAACCAGUGGGGAACUCAGAAACUGAAAAAUACAGCUGUGUGUUAUCUGGGGCUGCGACCGUGUCUUAUAAUCCUGUUCAGUAACUGCAAUGCACUACAGGAAGUGCUGGGGGCAGUAGUUCCAUUUCUACCAUUGUAUUCACCAACUGCUUUCUCAACCGAGGAAAAAAAUGGGGUUUAUAUCACAACGACAUUAACAAUGACCGGCAAAAUAUGGAUUUAAACAGGGUUCCCACGGGUCCUUGAAAAACUUGAAAGUUUGUGAAUUUGAAAAUAAAAUUCAAGACCCUUGAAAGUUUUUGAAAUUGCCCUAAAUAGACAUGUGGUCAUUAAAAGUGCUUACAUUUUGUGCAAGAAAGAAGUUAAAUUGAUAUUUAGGUAAAUGUUUACCUACGCCACCUACUGUUUCAUGCCUUGCAUUGCUUGAUGUACGUAAACUAGGCCAACGCAGGAAAAACGUUGAGUCAUAAUUACCACCGGUGUGUGAGAUUCCGUGCAGAACAACGAGCCAAGUAACGUCAAAACAAGAGAGAGCAAAUGACGACGUGAUGCCUGGGAAAAGAAAAUUCCAAGAUCUCUGUCUCACCUAAGAAAGUUGCAAAGACUGACUUUGGCCAAGAUCCCAACAAUCACAACACUUGUCCAGAUGCAGAGUGUGCUGCAAAUCAAAAAAGUGGACGCCCUACAAGCUGCCCUCCCAUUCUGUCCUUGAAUUUGAGGGAAUUGGUCCUGGAAAGUCUUUGAAUAGUGCUUGAAUUUGAUGUCAAUCAAGGUGUGGGAACCCUGUUUAAAAGGUAUUUAAUUGAAUAUGAAAUGCUUCCCCGUAUUAAAAUUCAAUUAGCUUACAUGGCGUUUGAACUGUGAACAUGAUAAUGUUGUUGGCAAAGUACUCAAAAUAAAUUAUUUUUUAUUUAUUUCCACUCGUUCAGUAGCUCAUCUGGGAUAUAACCCACUAAUUUUAAAGACACUAUUAAACUACCAAACAAUGAAGAUAGCAAGGCUUGGAUUUUAAGCUAACGCUAAAGCUUAGUCAUGCUAGUACUCCCUUUUUAUAUCAGCCUACAAAUAUUCUUAGUGGACAUAAAUGAGAUUGACACUGGGAGUGGAGCUGCGUUUGUUCAGUGUGAAGCUGAUUUGUCGUUAAAACCAACUACUAGCCAGCUACUAGCCAGCUACUAGCCAUGGUUCAUGUGUUUUGAGCUAACACUGACGUUUUACACCACUUUAGCCCUGGAACGGUUUCUACUGCCAGUCUCCUCGACUACAGCCUUUAAACGAAAAGCAAGAAAGGUCACACUGUCGCCUUCUCUCCACAUAUAUUUAAUAUUAAGUUAGAAAACUAUUCCAUUGUGUCUCUGUGGAGUUGGACAUUUGUAAAAUGAAAAUGGUUAGUGAAAAAUCGUGACUAAUCGAACAAUUUAAAGUUGUCCACCAAAAUCAUCGUUAGUUGCAGCCCUGGUGUCUUUCAUCUGUGUAGAAAUCCAAAAUAUGCUACUAAGUUCAUUUUAAAUGUGAAAAAUGAAACGGCAGCAGCACAGAAGAGGCUACAGCGCCACCACAUGGUCAUUGAUGAAACUUUUCUCGGAGAAACCAGACCUUUGCAGAACUGGUCAGUCUUCGGUCAACACUCGGUAGACUGUUGCCUAAAAUUGAGAGUUGUGUCUCCAAUUGAUGAAUUAAAAUGUUAUUAAUAAUCCCCAAACACAAAAAAACCAGUUUGUCCUUUCAUUCUUUGUGUCUGUGUCCAAACACUGUGACCUUAGUUGUUACUGUAACGAAGGCGCUGUGAUUACUGUUUUGCCUCGACAGCUUCAGCAUCAUGGUAAAUCACCAUGGUAACUCAUGCUGAAACCCGAACCUGCUCCAAAACACGUCAGGUUUUCAAGGGAAUUGCCUGAAUUUAAAACUUAUGACUUUCAAAAAAGUCUGAAUGUACAAAUGUCCCCCAUGCACCCCAAGUGAAAUAAAGCAUGGAGCGCCGACUCACACAGGAAUCCCCGGAGAGGAGGAAACUCAACACACCUCCUUAAUCUGCCCAUUGAUCUGUCUACUGCGCUAUAACAAGGAAGAGGAGCCUGCACUCCACAGGUCAGUAAACACAACAUAUGUAAGAAUGUUUGUGUUGAUAAGUGAGGUUAUAUAAAUACGAGCGCUUAGUUUAAGCUUGUGAUCGUUGAAGCGUUUAAAAGACUGAA